GACGCAUCACUGGUGUUCGGGUUGUCAUGCCAAUGGCACUGCCCGGUAGCUAAAUGCGGAAGAGAUAAGUGCUGAAAGCAUCUAAGCACGAAACUUGCCCCGAGAUGAGUUCUCCCUGACUCCUUGAGAGUCCUGAAGGAACGUUGAAGACGACGACGUUGAUAGGCCGGGUGUGUAAGCGCAGCGAUGCGUUGAGCUAACCGGUACUAAUGAGCCGUGAGGCUUAACCUU
rnacentral:rRNA from 1 species